GAUGAACGCUGGCGGCGUGCCUAAUACAUGCAAGUCGAGCGAACGGACGAGAAGCUUGCUUCUCUGAUGUUAGCGGCGGACGGGUGAGUAACACGUGGAUAACCUACCUAUAAGACUGGGAUGACUUCGGGAAACCGUAGCUAAUACCGGAUAAUAUUUUGAACCGCAUGGUUCAAAAGUGAAAGACGGUCUUGCUGUCACUUAUAGAUGGAUCCGCGCUGCAUUAGCUAGUUGGUAAGGUAACGGCUUACCAAGGCAACGAUGCAUAGCCGACCUGAGAGGGUGAUCGGCCACACUGGAACUGAGACACGGUCCAGACUCCUACGGGAGGCAGCAGUAGGGAAUCUUCCGCAAUGGGCGAAAGCCUGACGGAGCAACGCCGCGUGAGUGAUGAAGGUCUUCGGAUCGUAAAACUCUGUUAUUAGGGAAGAACAUAUGUGUAAGUAACUGUGCACAUCUUGACGGUACCUAAUCAGAAAGCCACGGCUAGCUACGUG
rnacentral:rRNA from 1 species